rnacentral:rRNA from 1 species
AUUGAACGCUGGCGGCAGGCCUAACACAUGCAAGUCGAGCGGAGCGGCGGACGGGGGAGUAAUGCCUAGGAAACUGCCUGGUAGUGGGGGAUAACGUCCGGAAACGGGCGCUAAUAUCGCAUACUAUCAGAUGAGCCUAGGUCGGAUUAGCUGGUUGGUGGGGUAAAGGCCGACCAAGGCGACGAUGCGUAACUGGUCUGAGAGGAUGAUCAGUCACACUGGAACGUGGAGAAGGUCCAGACGCCUCCGGGAGGCAGCAGUGGGGAAUAUUGGACAUUGGGCAAAAGCCUGAUCCAGCCGUGCCGCGUGUGUGAAGUAGGUCUUCAGAUUGUAAAGCACGUUAACUUGGGAGGCGUUACCAACAGAAUAAGCACCGGCUAACUUCGUGCCAGCAGCCGCGGUAAUAC